UGAUCUGAAUUCCAAAACCACACAAUUAGUAUAACAUUCUACAUUACAGAGACUAACAAAUGUGGGAACUUACUGCAUGCAAAUGAGAUGAAUGGUUCUCAGUUUCACCGAUCAUAUUGCUCUGAACAUGUGCAAUGCUGGGGCCAUCACAGAUGCCUCCAAUUCCUGGAUCUGUUCUUAGCUCCUUCCUCACGAGAGAGUCGUACAGUUCAACCAACUGUGGAGCACUCUGCACUCCCUCCCUGCUUCUCAAUGAAAAUAUGGGGGGGGGGUGUCGGCAGGAGGUGGUGAUGGCGGUGGUGGGCAAACAGCAUCUGCAUCAU
rnacentral:lncRNA from 1 species